rnacentral:rRNA from 1 species
GACGAACGCUGGCGGCGUGCCUAAUACAUGCAAGUCGAACGCUUCUUUCCUCCCGAGUGCUUGCACUCAAUUGGAAAGAGGAGUGGCGGACGGGUGAGUAACACGUGGGUAACCUACCCAUCAGAGGGGGAUGACACUUGGAAACAGGUGCUAAUACCGCAUAACAGUUUAUGCCGCAUGGCAUAAGAGUGAAAGGCGCUUUCGGGUGUCGCUGAUGGAUGGACCCGCAGUGCAUUAGCUAGUUGGUGAGGUAACGGCUCACCAAGGCCACGAUGCAUAGCCGACCUGAGAGGGUGAUCGGCCACACUGGGACUGAGACACGGCCCAGACUCCUACGGGAGGCAGCAGUAGGGAAUCUUCGGCAAUGGACGAAAGUCUGACCGAGCAACGCCGCGUGAGUGAAGAAGGUUUUCGGAUCGUAAAACUCUGUUGUUAGAGAAGAACAAGGACGUUAGUAACUGAACGUCCCCUGACGGUAUCUAACCAGAAAGCCACGGCUAACUACGUG